rnacentral:misc_RNA from 1 species
GAUGAAGAACGUAGCGAAAUGCGAUACGUAAUGUGAAUUGCAAAUUCAGUGAAUCAUCGAGUCUUUGAACGCACAUUGCGCCCCCUGGUAUUCCGGGGGUCAUGCCUGUCCGAGCGUCAUUGCUGCCCUCAAGCACGGCUUGUGUGUUGGGCCCCGUCCUCCGAUCCCGGGGGACGGGCCCGAAAGGCAGCGGCGGCACCGCGUCCGGUCCUCGAGCGUAUGGGGCUUUGUCACCCGCUCUGUAGGCCCGGCCGGCGCUUGCCGAUCAACCCAAAUUUUUAUCCAGGUUGACCUCGGAUCAGGUAGGGAUACCCGCUGAACUUAAGCAUAUCAAUAAGCGGAGGA